UACGUAGGUGGCGAGCGUUGUCCGGAUUUACUGGGCGUAAAGAGCGCGCAGGCGGCUGGUCAAGUCCGAUGUGAAAGCUCCCGGCUUAACUGGGAAAUUGCAUCGGAAACUGAUCGGCUGGAAGGUGGGAGAGGGUAGCGGAAUUCCCGGUGUAGUGGUGAAAUGCGUAGAUAUGCGGAGGAACACCGAUGGCGAAGGCAGUCCCCUGGGCCUGUACUGACGCUCAUGCACGAAAGCGUGGGGAGCAAACAGG
rnacentral:rRNA from 1 species